rnacentral:lncRNA from 1 species
AGAAUAUUGUGCAACAUGGUUAUGGGUACUACAGUGGAUGUGAGUGUGUAGACCUUGUACAAUAGAGCUUAUAGGCUAAUGAGAAGACAGGAAGAAACAACAGGAACACAUAUAGCUGGAAUGCAGAUGGGAUCUGUGCUACUUACGCUAGCCAUGGGAUGAUUAGAACAAGAUAAGAGACAUGAGGAAGACUUCUUCAAGGAGGUGCUCAAGCCAUGUUUUGGAAAAGAGAACUCAAGGUCUGGCAGGGAGAAAGGAGCAAGGUCCCCAAGCAUGCUAACCAUGAAGCAGUGAUAUCGCACAGCACCUGCUUCCAGCAGCCCGGAGCCAAGGGGCAAAAUGGAAAGAGUCAGCAUUUCUCUUUUAGGAAGACUGAAGAAACCUAAUCCUAGGUGCUGCCACUGGGACAAACAAGAAGCACCAGACACAGUGCUGUUUUAGGGUGGGGCAGAAUUAUGCUGAGGGAAAAGUUAUUAUCACUCUUUAAGGCCAAGGAAACCACAAUUUUUAAAGAAGCUUCUAGAAAUUCUACCCAGUAGAAAAUAAAGAUAAACUUCUGUAAGGAA